CCUACGGGUGGCAGCAGUGGGGAAUAUUGGACAAUGGGCGAAAGCCUGAUCCAGCCAUGCCGCGUGUGUGAAGAAGGCCUUCGGGUUGUAAAGCACUUUCAGUGGGGAAGAAAGCCUUGGGGCUAAUACCCUCGAGGAAGGACAUCACCCACAGAAGAAGCACCGGCUAACUCCGUGCCAGCAGCCGCGGUAAUACGGAGGGUGCGAGCGUUAAUCGGAAUUACUGGGCGUAAAGCGCGCGUAGGCGGUCUGAUAAGCCGGUUGUAAAAGCCCCGGGCUCAACCUGGGAACGGCAUCCGGAACUGUCAGGCUAGAGUGCAGGAGAGGAAGGUAGAAUUCCCGGUGUAGCGGUGAAAUGCGUAGAGAUCGGGAGGAAUACCAGUGGCGAAGGCGGCCUUCUGGACUGACACUGACGCUGAGGUGCGAAAGCGUGGGUAGCAAACAGGAUUAGAUACCCGAGUAGUC
rnacentral:rRNA from 1 species